UGCGUGUUGUUUGACCUGCGCCUCGUUUGGCCAUACUUAAAGAGUAACCGCUUUCGCUUUGCCAUGGAAGAACACGAUUUUUACUUGCGCAGGGGUGCCAGGAAAGACUGCACAGGGCUUUGGAAGAGGAAGGCCUUGAGACUGACCUCUCACUUCAAAACAUCUACGUCUGUGAGCAGAUAUUCUAUUUGAUGUCCCUAAACAAGAGCUCUUUUCUGUUUUCAGUGAUCGAUAUGACAUUGCAAGAUGUGCCAAGAACAGCAACAAUAGCGAUGACACCAAACAUAGACUGCCUUUCCGCAUGCAAAACAUGGAACAUUUCUCACUAAAGUAUGGCCCCAGGGUAGUUGGUUUUGGCCCUCGCUAAUUUUGAGUUGUGCAGUAGUGUACUAGGCACACAUUUUAUAGUGUAAAAGCUGCAGUCCAUUACUUCAUUUGCUUAGUUGGGUGCCGUUACCCAUAACCCAGCGUUCCAAAUAAGCUUAGUUCUGUAAUACCUUGCUAUCCAUUUUUCUAUGCAUUCUUCAACUGCUGUUAACAAAUUAAAACAGUUUGUGUGGUUUUAUAGCUGUCUAAAUGUCUAAACGUUAUGGGGCAAGGCGAUAAGCUCCUGCAUAUUUCUGCAUGUGUUGUGUAAUAGAGGAGCUGGGAAAAUGAAUGUUACCAUCUCAAUCACACAUAUCUGACAAAGGCUGAAAAUAUUUGCAGCCAUAACUUGUGUAAUCCAAAAAAUAAGCUUGUUACAAUAAGUCAAGGCAGAAAUAUAGUUAAUCAUGAUAAAUUUGUGUCACCAGUGUGAAUCUUCUGUGCAUUUCGAAUUAAAGGACAGCCUUCAAGCCAGCAGGUGAACAAAGGACAUAUUCUCGGACAAUCACUUUGGCGAGAAUCAGCACUAGAUGCAUGCGCACAAGGGUCAAGCAAAUGCGAUAAAGUAGUUUGUUGGCUCUCAUGGGCCGAGUCUCGCGAGAAUGAAAGUAUCGCCAAAUGUGAUCGCCCGAGAAUACCACCCCAUUAAGGUACAGGAUUUUGCAGCAAACGACUUCAACUUCUCAUUUUCGACAUUUUGGGCUAUAAGAUGUGCACAUAUGUAUGAUGCAGAGAUUGUGUGUGCUAGUGUGUACGUGUGUAACCACCACUUUGAGAAAGCAUAUCCUGCAUUAUAUUUGGAACUUCGUGUUCCAAAUAUAAUGCAAGGUUGCUUUGUCUGGCUUCAUGAGACCAAUAUUUCAAU